rnacentral:lncRNA from 10 species
UUUAAACCAAAUUAAACUUUAGGCAAAUCAAAGAUUCAAAUGUGGAAUUUUUGAAGGUGUCAUCUGACUAUGCUGAAGCAUCAAAGAAUGUAUCUGCAGUUUCUUCUUAUAAGGCUUUAAAACAGUAAAAUGUCAGUAAUUCCAGUGUGGUGUCAGGUUUUAUUAUUUUUUCUUUUUUUUUUAAUUAUGCUUUAACUUUUAGGGUACAUGUGCACAACGUGCAGGUUAAUUACAUAUGUAUACAUGUGCCAUACUGGUGUGCUGCACCCAUCAACUCAUCAUUUAACAUUAGGUAUAUCUCCUAAUGCUAUCCCUCCCCACUUCCCCAACCCCAC